GUAUGACUCUCGGCAAUGGAUAUCUUGGCUCUUGCAUCGAUGAAGAACGCAGCNAAAUGCGAUACGUGGUGUGAAUUGCAGAAUCCCGUGAACCAUCGAGUUUUUGAACGCAAGUUGCGCCCGAGGCCAAUUGGUUGAGGGCACGYCCGCCUGGGCGUCAAGC
rnacentral:rRNA from 1 species